GGAUAUUAGAACACAAGGGUUCAGACUGCCGUUUGGUGGGGUUUGGCUUUUACAUUUCUUCUAGUUUUAGACCCAGCUUAUGGUAUUAUGAGCACAGCAGACAGCUGCAUCUCGACCAUGGUACUGUGUUUAGAACAAGACACUGAGCCAUCCUUUGGAAGGUGGUUUUUACAAUGUGACCCAGCUGCUUAAUGGAUGAUAGCCGAGCUUUGAGGAAAACACUCCAUUGCUCCUUCGCUGUGCGGUCCAGACGAGGCAUUAUGAUUCUCUCAUCCGUGGCUUAGGACAAUGAUCUGUAGCUAAAUCAGAGGAUGUGCUAAAGAAGCAACAGGACUUUAAACUUCUUUCACUAUUCCACAAGGGGGCAGCAGUUACCGUAGCCUAUGUUUCUUAUGCCUGGCGUUCAGAGGAACUGCAUUAAAGGUCCAAGCAUCCCAUAGUUGUUGAGCCUAUGAGGUUGGAUGUCUCAGCUGAUCUUCGGACUAUGUCAGAAUCCUGAAGAAGAUGACUCUAAUACCAGCGAAGGGAUGGACGCGCUGGCAGAACAGCAAGCAGGCAAGGAGCAAGAGCUUCCUUCUUCCAAGU